UUUUUUUUUUUUUUUAGCUGUGCUGGGUCUUCGUGGUGGCAUGUGGGAUCUUAGUUCCUGGACCAGGAUUCGAGCCUGCAUCCCCUGCAUUGGGAGGUGGAUUUUUAACCACUGGACCACCAAGGAAGUCCCCCUGGGUCUCUUUAUCACCUGGCUGUCUGCUACCAAAUAUUACCUCCCACUGGUCCCUGCUCCUUCCUGAUCUGUUGCCCUGUUCCUAUGACCCCUCAAUGCUUCCCCAGCUAUUCUCCAGGACCCGCAGCCUUCAAGACCCACUUUGGGUCUCAUGAAGCCUUCUUGAACUACUUAAGCCUCCAUGUACUUCAGUUUUCACACCCGUGAAGUGGAGAAAAUUGAACCCACUUCACCAGGUUGUGAAAUGUAAAUGAGUUGCUAGUGGUAAAGAAUCUGCCUGCCAAUGCAGGAGAUAAGAGACCCAGGUUCGAUCCCUGUUUCAGGAAGACCACCUGGAGAAGGAAAUGGCAACCCACUCCAGUAUUCUUGCCUGGGAAAUCCCAUGGACAGAGAGCCUGGCAGGCUACAGUCCACGGUGUGACAAAGAGUUGCACAUGACUGAACGCUCACACACACACACAUAAUUAGGCUUAGCACAGCACAUUUAAUACAUUUCAGCUUUUCUUUUUUCUUCUUAUUCUAGGCCUAUAAUUCUCAACCGUGUUGCAUAUUAGAAACAUCUGAGGAGGCUUUUAAGAGAAAACAGUGGUGUUUUGUCCCCAGUCCUGGAGAUUCUGACUCAGUGGGUCAGGACAAUUGGCAUUUUAAGUUCUCAAGGCGAUUCUGGAGCAGGAGCUGGCAACUCACAGUGGCAAACCACCACCUCCAUUACUACCUCCCAGGUCCUGUGAGGUGAGACCCUGCUGUGUCAUUUCAAUAAAUUUUUGCUGACUCUACCUCAAGCUGGGCUCUGUUACUUAGAACCAAGGGAGGCCUAUGAAUGCAGAAGGAAUCUAAGAAAAAUGAUUGGAUUGAGUUACAUCUCAGGAAACUCUGGAACUGAAGAAGCUCCCCUGUCCUCAACCCCCGAUUCCUUGGUGGACGACCUCCGAGUUGUCCCCUUGGAGGGGUCAACUACAAAUUGUCACUUGCCAAGAGCAUUUGCCAGUGACUGAGCAACAACAAGGGCAUUUGCCACCUGCCUCUGUGGAUACUGAACCGUGUGCAACUGCCCACCUUCAGCACCUCCUGAGGGAGUUCAGGGGGGUGACUGAGGCAAUCUGUGCUCCAGGGAAACUGGGGAACAGAUCUUCAGGUAGUUAGAUAUUUUUAGGAACUGAUUUCGUGAUCCCAAGCCUAGCAUCUCCUCAUAUCUAGAAAAUCACCAAAUCCCUUCAGGAUGACAUCAGCUCCUCGUGACUAGCAGAAAACCUUUUGUAAAGUAAGCGCUUGACUGCACUGAACUCCCCCUUCACCAAAAUCUUAUAUAUUAAACUUCCCCUACUACCUCUUUGGAGCAGUCUCUCAGAGCUAUCUGAGGUGCUAUCUCCCGGGUUGCAGUCCUCAUUUUGCCCCAACUAAAACUUGACUAGCAACUUAUGUUGUGCGUCUUUUUAGUCGACAGAGGCCAAGUCUGUUGUGGUGACUGGGUGUGCUGUUUAACGCUGUCCCCAUCUCAGAGAGACCCAGCUGCUGCUUGAGUAAAAUUUUAGUAACAUAUAUUCUUAUGACAUUAGCUCAACAAAUUUGAGGGAAAAAAAAAUCCCUAAAAAGUCUCUUUCAUACUUUCCCCCUUGCCUUGGAAACCAACUACUGCAGCUGCUAACAGAUGCAUCUGUCUGUAUGUAGAAUAUAUUUUGUUCUGGAGAACAAAAAGAAUUAUUAAAAGGGUGGCAGGAGAUGGGACGUGUUUGUCAGCAUUCAGCUUUGUUUUUAAAUAUUUAUUUGGCUGUGCCAGGUCUUACUUGUGGCAUGUGGGAUCUUUAGUUGCAGCAUGUGGAAUCUAGUUCCCUGACCAGGGGAUCAAACCCAUGCCCUCUGCGCUGGAAGCUCAGAGUCUUAACCUCUGGACCACCAGGGAAAUCCCCAGCAUUCCCUCUGUUCUCCUUCCUCAGCUGAAUCACCUAGUCUUCCUCUUUUUCUAUUCUUUUGCUCACUGUACCCUUGUGCUUCUACCCUGGGAAGACAGAACAGCCCUGGCCUUCAUGGUCUGUGUUAAACCCACAUGAGUCUCCAUUCCAAGACGCUGAGAAAAGCCGCCAGCUGGUAAACCCCACCUAGACUUCUUUCUUUUACAAAUGAGCAGCAGAUCACGACUCUGUUCUAACAGAGAAAUUUGCACAACAGUUUUGCACCAUGGGGAUAAUGACAUAGUCUAUCUCCUGAGGAUGAUGAGAUAGGACCAUGGGUUUCAGACUUGGCUGUGCAUUAGAAUCACUGGAAGAGUUUCAAAAAUUCCUGUGCUGAGCAGCACCCGGACAUGUUCAAUCAAAACUUCUGGUUUUGGGAGCUAUCCAUCAACAUUUUAAAAGUCUCUUGGGACUUCCCUGGUGGUCCAGGGGCUAAGACUCCACAUUCCCAGUACCAGGGAGCUGGAUUCCGUCCCCGGUCAGGGAACUAGAUCCCACAUGCCACAACUAAAAGACCUCACAUGCCUCAGUGAAGACUGAAGAUCCCGUUUGCUGCAACUAAGACUUGGGGCAGCCAAAUAAAUAAAAAUAAAUGUUAAAAAAUGACACCUGCCCUCAAGAAAUGUUCUGGGGUAGGUAAUUGAAAAAUAUUAAAAAAAUAUUAAAAACAUCUCUCUAGCUAAUUCCAACAUGCAGCUACAUUUCAGAGCCAGUGAGAUAGUACUUGUUUAUAAGUACUCAGUAGCUGUGUUUAUUAAGGGCUUCCCAGGUGGCUCAGUGGUAAAGAACCCACCUGCAAUGCAGGAGAUGCAGGUUCGAUCCCUGGGUUGGGAAGAUCCCCUGGAGGAGGGUAUGGCAACCCACUGCAGUAUUCUUGCCUGGAGAAUCCCAUGGACAGAGGAGCCUGGAGGGUUACAGUCCAUAGCAUGCUCUAUACCAAAUCACACCAAAACUUUUGCAAAAAUCUUACAUAGUUUGUGUAGGUCUUCCCAUUUCACAGAAGAGGAAACAUAUUCUUCCCAAGGUCACAUGGUGGGCACACCAGUUAGCUUUUACUUUGUUACAAACCAUCCCCCAAAUCAGUGGCUAAGAAUAACCAUUUGUUAACUCACAGUCCUAGAGACUGGCGGUCAGCUGGGGUGUUGGGAGUAGGGCACAACCCAUCGCAUGACCUCUUCCAUCCUCCAGGAGGACAGCUGAGCUGAGCUGCCCUGGCAGCUUGGAAGGAUUCCUCUUGGAAGGCUGGAUGGAUGCAAGGCCUCUUGAUACCUCCGCCUGGGACUAGUACUGUCAUUUCUGUCAUAAUCUCAAUUGGCCAAAGCAGGGCAUGAAGGCUGCCUAGAUUCAAGGGAUGGUGAGAGAAACCCUGCUUACUGUUGGGAGCAGCUUCCCAGUCAUAUUGCAAAGGGGCAGGAAUACGGGGAGGGGUUGGGGUGGAGGGUCACGUCCACCCUGCAGUCGACUGCAAGUUGUUAGGUGACAGAAGUAGGAUUUUAUUUUUCAAUUACAAAGAUAGCAUACACACAAGAGAACAAUUGGAACAGUAAACGAAAGGGGAAAUGAGGAAGAGAAAUUCUCAUUCUUAGUCCUGGGCUAGGAAAAAACGUUCUAAUCUAGUCCUACUCUCUACAUGUAAGUGUGAUCGAGAGUUCCUUGUUUAUCUUGACACAAUUUUCCCUGCAUAUGCAUGGAUGGGAGCACGAACAAUUUUCCUGCACUUUAUUCUUUUCUCUUAAUAAUGCAACUAAGUUCUUUCCACAGCAGCACAACUAGAAAUGAUCCAUUCCUUUUAAGGUCUACAUAGUAAUCCACUGAAUAAAUGUGCCAUUUAUUCAACUACAUAUCCCACUGUUGGACACUUAGGUUUUCUGGUUUUUAUUGUUAAAAAUGCCGCUGCAGUGACUCUCCAUGAAUAUCCUUUGUGUACUUGGAGACUAGGUUCCUCCAAGAGGAAUUUCUGUGUUGAAGAGCAGAGUCGAACCUUGGUCUGUUCCCAAAGCACCUGCACUUUUCAGGAUGGGUCUUCAGUUAUCUGGGGCUUCUCUGAUGGUUCAGCGGUAGAGACUCCUCCUGCCAGUGCAGGAGACGAGGGUUCGAACCCUGGGUUGGGAAGAUCCCCUGGAGAAGCAAAUGGCAACCUGCUCCAGUAUUCUCGCCUGGGAAAUCCCAUGGACAGAGGAGCCUGGCGGGCUAUAGUCCAAGAGGUCACAAAGAGUCGGACACGACUGAGUAUGAAUGCUUCAGUUACCCACUAUUCCUCCAGACUUUUCUGUGACUAGAAGCUACUUUAAGAAGCAUGGUGCCCUGUGCACAUAUGCAUAUACUGGACUUCUCCACACUCUUCCUUCCUAAGUGAGCUCAAGAGGUCCCGAGCUGUGCAUUAUUAAGUUCUUCCAAGAGGAUCCAGAUCAGUUAUCUUUUCUGUGUCUUCCUUCAUGAUUUUUCUGGGAGACAUGUACUACUUUGUUAGAGGCCGGUGAUACAAGAAACCUAAUAACCAGUGUUAACCUACAAACGAUAGAUUCCAUCCAAAUGAAGGCCUAAGAUAUAAAUGAAAAUUUCAUGAAUACUGGAAAUACAAAUAGGUGGUAAAAGAAGUCAAGCAAUUACACAGCAAUAAUAGCAGAGCCCUAUAUUGAACAGUUAGGAUUACAUAAAUUCCAACUUUGUUCUUGGCGACUUUAACAGUUCAUGAAUAUCAAGUACAGAAACAAAUGUGCAGUGAAGCUAUUGCUUAAGAUCUUAUUUUUUCAUCCUUUGAUAUUCUUUUUGGUUUUUUUCUUUUUUUUUUUCCAUGGCUCUUGAUACCCACAUGCCACCUGCCUGGUUGGAGCCUUGAAUUCUGACCAAGUCUGUAUGGACUUAACUCUUCUAUGAACAGCAGGUUGGUGACUGUCAGAAUCUGGAGGUGGUAGCAAGAAACACCCAUCAAAGUAUGAAACCUCAAUGGCAACACCAGAUGCAUUUAAUUAAAUCAAUUUCCAGCAUUUGCUGUGUGUGAAGCACAUUUCCCCGCCCCUUCCCACCACGUGAAUCACUGACAAGAGAAACCCCGAGCCUGACAUCUUGGAAGACCGCUUUGCCCAGCACUGAGUGAUGGCUAGAUGGGUGUUAUUCCCGCUAAAUUCACUGCUAUGGUCAGACUCCAUGGAGUAACCACUUGACUAGGUCCUCUCAAUACUUAGAAGAACAGUUGAGAUGCAAAACGGGGAGUCUCUAAAGUCUGUCGAGAAGAAAAGAUUAACUGUUGAAAUGGCUCCAUCUGCCUUCACUCUCCUCAUUCAAUCCAUUCGCUGGUGGACUCAGAGCUGCCGUGCCUGGCUUCUGCUGGUUACCAACAUUUAGAGAAGGCAGACCUCUUUAAAUCUGAGUCACUGAAUCUGCGGAUUAAUUGUAUUUCCUUAAUGCAGACACCGUUAAGAAGGAUCUGUCACCAUUUCCAUUAAGAUUAAUGAGUUAUAUGAUUAAUUGCUCGUUGUACCAAUGCUCUUGUGUGUAUGCUUUUCCCCCUGAGGAUUAUUUUGGGUGAAGCUUUCCAUGAUGGCAUUUUCACACCAAACUGUAUGAUGGAUCCUCCCCUGUGCAACAGAUGAGUCACUAAUUAUACGAGGCUAUUGACAUUAAAAGUGAAGAAAUCAAAGAUUUACUUCUCAGCUGCACCAUCCACAUUUCAAACGCUCAUGAGCCACAUGUUGUUGCUAGUAGCUAUUGAUAAAGGACAUUUUCAUCAUCAUGGAAAGUUCUUUUAGACAGUGCUGAUAGAGACAGUAGAAUUUGGAAAAAAGAACAUGGGUUUCUGAGUCUUAUGGGCCUGGUUUCUUCUGCACACAGAUUGCACUUCUGUGUUCUCAACCAUUGCCUACCAUGAUAUGCAUGUCCUUCAGGUAAAUAAGACACUGACAUUUCAAAGGAUCGAGUCUGCUUUAUAACUUGGUGGCUCUCAAAUCUCAGUGAGCAUCAGGAUCACCUGAAGAACUUGCUAGAACCCAGUUUGCUGGGUCUCAUCACCAGUUCUGAGAACAUGCCUUUAGAUUCCCAGGUGCCGCCCCUCAAGUAUUAUGGAGCUGCUCUUGAAUUGGGGAAACCAGAACACCUUGGUGGGCAAAGAUUAAAUCAUCUGUAUCCUUCAUUUACACCAAGGAGGUCCACAGGCAUAUUCUUGAGGAUGUGAACAUUCAUUAUUAACAUUGUAACAACUGUGAUUUCACUCAAAAUAAAAAGCGCAAUAAACACCUAU